UUUGAGAUGGUCUAAGAUGCUUCAAAUGCGAUAUUCGUUCUCAGGCAUCAAGAGAAACAGGCUGGAUGAGUCCCCUACACUUUCGAGAUCUUCACUCUGUUGCGCAAGUUAAGAAAUUGGAGAUUGGCGCAUUGGUCUUUAUUAGUGGUGUAGUCCGUGUCAAAAUUCUGAAAUUUGAACAGGUGAGAACCCGACAUGGUAAUUCUCGUACAUGGCUGCUUGGCUGGAUGAGUCCCUACACUUUCGAGAUCUUCACUCUGUUGCGCAGGUUCAGAAAUUGGAGAUUGGCGCAUUGGUCUUUAUUAGUGGUGUAGUCCGUGUCAAAAUUCUGAAAUUUGAACAGGCGAGAACCCGACAUAGUACUUAUCGUACAUGGCUGCUAACAGAUUUUUCUAUCUAGAAAACAUGGUGGUAAAUAGAAUCACUUUAACCAUUUCAAAGGACUUGGAAUAAUGAGUUUCUACGAAAUGAUUCAUUUUUGUAUUGCC